rnacentral:rRNA from 1 species
AUUGAACGCUGGCGGCAGGCCUAACACAUGCAAGUCGAGCGGAUGAAGGGAGCUUGCUCCUGGCUUCAGCGGCGGACGGGUGAGUAAUGCCUAGGAAUCUGCCUGGUAGUGGGGGAUAACGUCCGGAAACGGGCGCUAAUACCGCAUACGUCCUUAUGGUGAAAGUGGGGGUUCUUCGGACCUCACGCUAUUUGCUGAGCCUAGGUCGGAUUAGCUAGUUGGUAGGGUAAAGGCCUACCAAGGCGACGAUCCGUAACUGGUCUGAGAGGAUGAUCAGUCACACUGGAACUGAGACACGGUCCAGACUCCUACGGGAGGCAGCAGUAGGGAAUAUUGGACAAUGGGCGAAAGCCUGAUCCAGCCAUGCCGCGUGUGUGAAGAAGGUCUUCGGAUUGUAAAGCACUUUAAGUUGGGAGGAAGAGCAGUAAGUUAAUACCUUGCUGUUUUGACGUUACCAACAGAAUAAGCACCGGCUAACUUCGUG